GGGGAUCGCAAGACCUUGCGCUUAUGGAGCGGCCGAUGACUGAUUAGCUAGUUGGUGAGGUAACGGCUUACCAAGGCGCCGAUAAGUAGCUCGUCUGAGAGGACGACAAGCCACACUUGGACUGAGACACGGCCCAGACUCCUACGGGAGGCAGCAGUGGGGAAUUUUGGACAAUGGGCGCAAGCCUGAUCCAGCCAUGCCGCGUGAGUGAAGAAGGCCUUCGGGUUGUAAAGCUCUUUCGGCCGGAACGAAACGCUCUGGGUUAAUACCUGUGAUGACUGAUGGUACCGGAAGAAGAAGCACCGGCUAACUACGUGCCAGCAGCCGCGGUAAUACGUAGGGUGCAAGCGUUAAUCGGAAUUACUGGGCGUAAUGGGUGCGCAGGCGGUUUUUGUAAGUCAGAUG
rnacentral:rRNA from 1 species